rnacentral:lncRNA from 1 species
AACUUUGGUUUCUUUGUCUUUGUUCUGAUCUGCUUACGAGACGUUUCAAGAUUCGAAGGAGAGCUAUCAUCCAUGGCUAUGUGUUUCCUCUUCUUGAUCCUCUUCGAUGUUCUCGUACUCUGUUUUUCUUCUCCGACCACAGGACAAGGUUCACUACACAUCUUUGAUCCCUCUUACACUGUAUAAUUGUGUGUUUCUCUCACUCUUAAUUAACUUGUUCUCUGUUUUGUAAUAGAAAGAAUGUAGGUGGAGGGAAAAGGAAAGCUGAUCGUGAUGUUACUUUGACACGUGUCGAUCAUUAAUUCGAUAAAACUAUUGUAAUCUUGGAUUCUGUUUGGAUGUGCAGGGUUUCAACAUUUCAGACACGGCAACAUUCAUAGAGUUCACGGUAGAUCUUAAUUCAAAAAGGUUUGGGAUAUUGAGUACCAAGUCUGGGCUUGGGUUGGACGUGCCUAGAAGGUCUGGAGCCUUCUAUAUCCGAACAGGUACGAUCUGGACCGUUGAUUGUAAUCGAUGGAAAAGAUCUGUCCCAGAAGGAUGUUCACGCAUCAACCCAAUCUAGUUCUCAAUCUUACAUAUAUUACUGUAGCCAUCACGCUUAUACAAGGUGUGUAAAAUGUUGAAAAGAAAAGAAGGGAAGCUUACUUUAACACGAGGACGUUUCUCAGCGUUGAGUUUACGAACUUGGUAUCGAAUCCGUUUAGAGAAAAGGCGACUUUGUCGUUUCUCUUUAUACCGUAGCAAGCUCGCUUCUCUAUGCCCUCUCCAUAACGUCUCCGUCGUCUCCAUCUCCGGCACAGUCCAUAAACUCCCUGCCUCUCCGCCGCCGGUAACCACCUAAACAACCAUCAAAACACACUUGCCUAGUAUCAAAUCUUUCUUAUCCAGCUUAGAUUAAUUUUGACGAUAACAACGAUGACCAAAAUAUACAAUAUUUUACAAUUGGGUGCAUUUGUCAUGUAUAUACCAUAUGAUUUAAUAAAGCUCGAUAGGUUUCAUGAUUUGAUAAAUGUUUUUUAUCAAUCUAACAGUUAUGUAGAAAAUCAACAUGUACAAGUAUUAUCAUUUAUUAGGGUUACAGAAAAUUUUUCAAAAAAAAUCAUUAUGCGGUUACAUUUUCAGUUUAUAGGCAAAGCUUUCAAUAUGAUACUAGAACUUUCAACGUAAUAAAUUUAAUUAGGCUAUCAUCAUUACAGUUUCAAGAAAAAACUCGUGACCACAUCAAAAUUUUCACCGCUUUUAAUAGGUCAACUUAAUUAGUUACAUUAAGCAUUAACUACGAUUUAAUUUAUAUCAACUUAAUUAUACUCGUUCUGUUCCUAAAUAUAGGAUGUUUAGAAUAGUUUUUAUGUUCCAAUAUGCAGGAUGUUCUCAUAUUUCUAGGUAGUUUAAGUUUAUCAAAAACUCUGUUACCAAUCAAACUUAAUAGUUCUAUUUUGUAAUUGGUUGAAUAGUUUUAAAUUUAAAAUUUUAAUAAUACUUUUUAGAUAAAAACUAAAUUUCUUAAUAAGUGUAUUUUACCUAAAAAAUCUUAUAUUUAGGAAGGGGGGGGAGGGGGAGUAUAAUUUAAGCAUUAAUUACGAUAUAUAAACAUGAUAUAAAGAGAUGUUUACUUACAUCAGCAGAAGCAUGCAAGUCCGGCACCGUCUGCGGCGGUUCUCCGUCGACAUAAAGAGUACCUUUAUCCGGCCAAGCCUCCAUGAUCUGCUCAUAAUCAAGCUUCAGAGCCAGCGAAGUCCUUCCAUCGUUUCCAUCUCCGCCGCAACACCGUGGAGUUCCGCUCCGACUCAUCACCUCGUCCACAACCUCCGAAUAACUCACCCACCGCUCCGCCGUAGCUUCCUCCUUGCUCGCUCCUUUCCUCAUCGCCGUCCGUAGAAGCGAAGAAGUAGACGUUGAUCCACGCUCUUUAAUGUCGUACGGAGACAUGUCCCUUCCUCCUCCGCCGCAAUCUACAUCUUCUGCGGAGGAAGGGAGCAGAUCGUGAAUCGAAGAGAUUGUGCUGUUGUCGGUGGUGGAGUUGAAGAGGUAAGCCGCCACGGUGUCGUAUUGAUCUUCUUCUUUCUCCCCUUCUCCCACUGUCUCCAUUCUCUUCUUCUCAGCACCUCCUCUCGUCUUGCUCUGCUUCUUCUUGUUCGUCGUGGUUACGGGACUCUCGUCGAUCUCGUGAGAAGUGUUGAGUUCGAGCUUGAGACUGAGACUGAGGAACUUUGGUUUCUUUGUCUUUGUUCUGAUCUGCUUACGAGACGUUUCAAGAUUCGAAGGAGAGCUAUCAUCCAUGGCUAUGUGUUUCCUCUUCUUGAUCCUCUUCGAUGUUCUCGUACUCUGUUUUUCUUCUCCGACCACAGGACAAGGUUCACUACACAUCUUUGAUCCCUCUUACACUGUAUAAUUGUGUGUUUCUCUCACUCUUAAUUAACUUGUUCUCUGUUUUGUAAUAGAAAGAAUGUAGGUGGAGGGAAAAGGAAAGCUGAUCGUGAUGUUACUUUGACACGUGUCGAUCAUUAAUUCGAUAAAACUAUUGUAAUCUUGGAUUCUGUUU